rnacentral:rRNA from 1 species
CCUACGGGUGGCUGCAGUGGGGAAUAUUGCACAAUGGGGGAAACCCUGAUGCAGCAACGCCGCGUGAGUGAUGACGGCCUUCGGGUUGUAAAGCUCUUUCUUCAGGGACGAUAAUUACGGUACCUGAGGAGUAAGCCACGGCCAACUCCGUUCCAGCCGCCGCGGUAAUACGUAGGUGGCGAGCGUUGUCCGGAUUUACUGGGCGUAAAGGGGGCGUAGGCGGACUUUUAAGUGAGAUGUGAAAUACUCGGGCUCAACUUGAGUGCUGCAUUUCAAACUGGAAGUCUAGAGUGCAGGAGAGGGGAAUGGAAUUCCUAGUGUAGCGGUGAAAUGCGUAGAGAUUAGGAAGAAAACCAGUGGCGAAGGCGAUUCUCUGGACUGUAACUGACGCUGAGGCGCGAAAGCGUGGGGAGCAAACAGGAUUAGAUACCCCUGUAGUC